rnacentral:rRNA from 1 species
AAUGAACGUUGGCGGCGUGGAUUAGGCAUGCAAGUCGAGCGAGAACCCGCAAGGGGGACAGCGGCGAACGGGGUAGGACAACGUAGGUAACGUACCCUCGGGGCGAGGACAGCCACGGGAAACUGUGGGUAAUACUCGAUAAACUUCCCAAUCAUUAUGGAAGGGGAAGCAAUGGGUGUGAUUCCACCUGAGGAGCGGCUUACGCAGUAUCAGCUAGUUGGUGAGGUAACGGCUCACCAAGGCUACGACGCUUAGGGGGUGUGAGAGCAUGGCCCCCACCACUGGCACUGAGACACUGGCCAGACACCUACGGGUGGCUGCAGUCGAGAAUCUUCGGCAAUGGACGCAAGUCUGACCGAGCGACGCCGCGUGCGGGAUGAAGGCCUCGGUUGUAAACCGCUGUCAGAGGGAGUGAAGUAUACGGGAGUUAUCUCCUGUAUUUGACAGAGCCUCAGAGGAAGCACGGCUAAGUUCGUGCCAGCAG